rnacentral:sRNA from 1 species
AUGGCUGUCGUCAGCUCGUGUCGUGAGAUGUUGGGUUAAGUCCCGCAACGAGCGCAACCCCUGUCCUAUGUUGCCAGCGAGUAAUGUCGGGGACUCAUAGGAGACUGCCGGUGACAAAUCGGAGGAAGGUGGGGAUGACGUCAAGUCAUCAUGCCCCUUAUGUCUAGGGCUACACACGUGCUACAUUGGCCGGUACAAAGGGCUGCAAACCCGCGAGGGGGAGCGAAUCCCAAAAAGCCGGUCCCGGUUCGGAUUGGAGGCUGAAACUCGCCUCCAUGAAGGCGGAGUUGCUAGUAAUCGCGGAUCAGCAAUGCCGCGGUGAAUACGUUCCCGGGCCUUGUACACACCGCCCGUCACACCACGAAAGUCGGCAACACCCGAAGCCGGUGGCCUAACCCGCAAGGGGGGGAACCGUCGAAGGUGGGGUUGAUGAUUGGGGUGAAGUCGUAACAAGGUAGCCGUAGCGGAAGCUGCGGCUGGAUCACCUCCUUUCUAGGGAUUCCAGAGCAAUUACUCUGGUAGGUGGCCGGCCUGUGAUGUCCCUCGGGACGUCCGGAAUCCGGUCUCGCCUGGAAUUACGUCGACCUCGACGUCCCUUUACGCUGUUGAGUUUUGAGAGAUCCGGUGCCUUCGGGUGCGGGAUUUUUCCGUUAGGCGGGAUUUACCGCGCGCACCUUGAAAACUCCAUAGUGACGAUAGAAGUGUUCUUUCUGAUCAAGAGAAUAAGAGUACACGGUGGAUGCCUUGGCGCUGAGAGCCGAUGAAGGACGUGGGCGGCUGCGAUAAGCCCGGGUGAGGUGCUGACCAACCUUUGACCCCGAGAUCUCCGAAUGGGGAAACCCGG